rnacentral:rRNA from 1 species
GCAUAUCAAUAAGCGGAGGAAAAGAAACCAACAGGGAUUGCCUCAGUAACGGCGAGUGAAGCGGCAAUAGCUCAAAUUUGAAAUCUGGCUCUUUUAGAGUCCGAGUUGUAAUUUGUAGAAGAUGCUUCGGCUUAUGCUCCGGUCUAAGUUCCUUGGAACAGGACGUCACAGAGGGUGAGAAUCCCGUUUGUGGCCGGUAGUUUUUGCCAUGUGAAGCUCCUUCGACGAGUCGAGUUGUUUGGGAAUGCAGCUCUAAAUGGGAGGUAAAUUUCUUCUAAAGCUAAAUAUUGGCCAGAGACCGAUAGCGCACAAGUAGAGUGAUCGAAAGAUGAAAAGCACUUUGGAAAGAGAGUUAAAAAGUACGUGAAAUUGUUGAAAGGGAAGCGCUUGCGACCAGACUUGUCUUCAGUUGUUCCGCCGGUCCUCUCGACCGGUGUAUUCUUCUGUUGUCAGGCCAGCAUCAGUUUGGGUGGUUGGAUAAAGGCAUUGGGAAUGUGACUUCUUUCGGGAAGUGUUAUAGCCCUUUGUGUAAUACAGCCUACCUAGACUGAGGACCGCGCUUCGGCUAGGAUGCUGGCGUAAUGGUCGUAAGCGGCCCGUCUUGAAACACGGACCAAGGAGUCUAACAUCUAUGCGAGUGUUUGGGUGUCAAACCCGUGCGCGUAAUGAAAGUGAACGGAGGUGGGAACCUUUUAGGUGCACCAUCGACCGAUCCUGAUGUCUUCGGAUGGAUUUGAGUAAGAGCAUAGCUGUUGGGACCCGAAAGGUGAGCUUUAAUCCCCCAAUUCCUUUGUAUAAAUCAAAUGCUAAUAUGUUUAAUAGAUGGUGAACUAUGCCUGAAUAGGGUGAAGCCAGAGGAAACUCUGGUGGAGGCUCGCAGCGGUUCUGACGUGCAAAUCGAUCGUCAAAUUUGGGUAUAGGGGGCGAAAGACUAAUCGAACCAUCUAGUAGCUGGUGCUGCGA